CCUACGGGAGGCAGCAGUGGGGAAUAUUGGACAAUGGGCGAAAGCCUGAUCCAGCCAUGCCGCGUGUGUGAAGAAGGCCUUCGGGUUGUAAAGCACUUUCAGUGGGGAAGAAAGCCUUGGGGCUAAUACCCUCGAUGAAGGACAUCACCCACAGAAGAAGCACCGGCUAACUCCGUGCCAGCAGCCGCGGUAAUACGGAGGGUGCGAGCGUUAAUCGGAAUUACUGGGCGUAAAGCGCGCGUAGGCGGUCUGAUAAGCCGGUUGUGAAAGCCCCGGGCUCAACCUGGGAACGGCAUCCGGAACUGUCAGGCUAGAGUGCAGGAGAGGAAGGUAGAAUUCCCGGUGUAGCGGUGAAAUGCGUAGAGAUCGGGAGGAAUACCAGUGGCGAAGGCGGCCUUCUGGACUGACACUGACGCUGAGGUGCGAAAGCGUGGGUAGCAAACAGGAUUAGAUACCCGUGUAGUC
rnacentral:rRNA from 1 species